UGCAGUCGAACGAGGUCUUCGGACCUAGUGGCGCACGGGUGAGUAACAUGUGGGAAUCUGCCUGAAGGUUCGGAAUAACUGCGGGAAACUGUAGCUAAUACCGGAUGUGUCUGCAAAGAGAAAGAUUUAUCGCCUUCAGAUGAGCCCGCACUAGAUUAGCUAGUUGGUGAGGUAACUGCUCCACCAAGGCUACGAUCUAUAGCUGAUUUGAGAGGAUGAUCAGCCACACUGGGACUGAGACACGGCCCAGACUCCUACGGGAGGCAGCAGUAGGGAAUAUUGGACAAUGGGGGAAACCCUGAUCCAGCAAUGCCGCGUGAGUGAAGAAGGCCUUCGGGUUGUAAAACUCUUUCAUCAAUGAAGAUAAUGACAUUAGUUGAAGAAGAAGCUCCGGCUAACUUCGUGCCAGCAGCCGCGGUAAUACGAAGGGGGCUAGCGUUGUUCGGAAUUACUGGGCGUAAAGAGCGCGUAGGCGGUUUGUUAAGUCUCAUGUGUAAUCUCCCGGCUCAACUGGGAGGGGUCAUGGGAUACUGGCAGACUCGAGGAUAGCAGAGGAAAGCGGAAUUCCCGGAGUAGUGGUGAAAUGCGUAGAUACCGGGAGGAACACCAGAGGCGAAGGCGGCUUUCUGGGCUAUUUCUGACGCUGAGGCGCGAAAGCGUGGGGAGCGAACCGGAUUAGAUACCCGGGUAGUCCACGCCCUAAACGAUGGAUACUAGAU
rnacentral:rRNA from 1 species